UACGGAGGGUGCGCGCGUUGUUCGGAAUCACUGGGCGUAAAGGGCGUGUAGGCGGUCCGCUAAGUCUGAUGUGAAAGCCCGGGGCUCACCCCCGGAAGGGCAUUGGAAACUGGCGGACUCGAGUCCCGGAGAGGAAGGUGGAAUUCCUGGUGUAGCGGUGAAAUGCGUAGAUAUCAGGAGGAAUACCGGUGGCGAAGGCGGCCUUCUGGACGGUGACUGACGCUGAGACGCGAAAGCGUGGGGAGCAAACAGG
rnacentral:rRNA from 1 species